AAGAAAUUAGCUUAAUUGGUAGAGCAACCGUUUUACACACGGUAGGUUAGGUGUUCGAAUCACCUAUUUCUUACUA
rnacentral:tRNA from 1 species